rnacentral:rRNA from 1 species
UAAAAAGUUCGUAGUUGGAUCUGUGUAUCGGACGGUCGGUUCGCCGCUCGCGGUGUUUGACUGACCGGUUCGGACGUCAUGCCGGUGGGACCUCGGCGCAAGUCGGGGUUCCGUAACUUACCCUCCGCGCUGCUCUUAACCGAGUGGUUCGGUGGGCCGGCACGUUUACUUUGAACAAAUUUGAGUGCUCAAAGCAGGCCUUAUGUUGCCUGAAAACUGUGUGCAUGGAAUAAUGAAAGAGGACCUUGGUUCUAUUUUGUUGGCUUUCUGAACUCGAGGUAAUGAUUAACAGGGACAGACGGGGGCAUUCGUAUUGCGACGUUAGAGGUGAAAUUCUUGGAUCGUCGCAAGACGGACCGAUGCGAAAGCGUUUGCCAAGAAUGUUUUCGCUAAUCAAGAACGAAAGUUAGAGGUUCGAAGGCGAUUAGAUACCGCCCUAGUUCUAACCAUAAACGAUGUCAGCCAGCGAUGCGCCGAUGUUCCUCCGAUGACACGGCGCGCAACUUCCGGGAAACCAAAGCUUUUGGGUUCCGGGG